CCUACGGGAGGCAGCAGUGGGGAAUAUUGCGCAAUGGGCGAAAGCCUGACGCAGCGACGCCGCGUGAGGGAUGAAGGUCUUCGGAUCGUAAACCUCUGUCAGCAGGGAAGAACGGUCACUGUGCUAAUCAGCAGUGAAUUGACGGUACCUGCAAAGGAAGCACCGGCGCAAUCCGUGCCAGCAGCCGCGGUAAUACGGAGGGUGCGAGCGUUAAUCGGAAUUAAUGGGCGUAAAGCGCUCGUAGGCGGUAGGUCAAGUCAAGGGUGAAAUCCGCGCGCUCAACGUGGGAACUGCCGUUGAAACUGGAAGACUGGAGUGUGUGAGAGGAUAGUGGAAUGCCUGGUGUAGGGGUGAAAUCCGUAGAUAUCAGGAGGAACAUCAGUGGCGAAGGCGACUAACUGGCACGUAACUGACGCUGAGGAGCGAAAGCGUGGGUAGCGAACAGGAUUAGAUACCCGAGUAGUC
rnacentral:rRNA from 1 species